GAGCGAGCUCCGGAAGACGCCGAUGACGCGCUCGAGGGAGCCGCGCAGCUGCCGGUCCUCCGCCCCGGCCAGGCCCGAGCGGUAGCCCUCCAGCAGCCGCACCGCCCGCUCCGCAUCUGAGAGGAAACAAGGAAGAAAAAAUAUCAUCAGUGUCGUCAUCAUCAUCCCCAAGGUCAUCAGACCCGAUUUUGUCAUCAUCUCCAGGCCCAAAUGUAUCCCUUUCAUUAAAUCUGGCAUGUGGGGGGAGUUCCCCAUGUGUCUUCAGACUUC